GUGGGGAAUCUUCCGCAAUGGACGAAAGUCUGACGGAGCAACGCCGCGUGAGUGAUGAAGGUUUUCGGACUGUAAAGCUCUGUUGUUUAGGACGAAAGUGCCUGUUGCGAACAGUUACAGGUAUUGACGGUACUAAACGAGGAAGCCACGGCUAACUACGUGCCAGCAGCCGCGGUAAUACGUAGGUGGCAAGCGUUGUCCGGAAUUAUUGGGCGUAAAGAGCAUGUAGGCGGAGAUUUAAGUCUGUUGUGAAAAUGCGGGGCUCAACCCCGUAUUGCGAUGGAAACUGAAUUUCUUGAGUGCAGGAGAGGAAAGGGGAAUUCCCAGUGUAGCGGUGAAAUGCGUAGAUAUUGGGAGGAACACCAGUGGCGAAGGCGCCUUUCUGGACUGUGUCUGACGCUGAGAUGCGAAAGCCAGGGUAGCGAACGGGAUUAGAUACCCCAGUAGUCC
rnacentral:rRNA from 1 species